UGGGGAAUAUUGGACAAUGGGCGAAAGCCUGAUCCAGCCAUGCCGCGUGUGUGAAGAAGGUCUUCGGAUUGUAAAGCACUUUAAGUUGGGAGGAAGGGCAUUAACCUAAUACGUUAGUGUUUUGACGUUACCGACAGAAUAAGCACCGGCUAACUCUGUGCCAGCAGCCGCGGUAAUACAGAGGGUGCAAGCGUUAAUCGGAAUUACUGGGCGUAAAGCGCGCGUAGGUGGUUUGAUAAGUUGGAUGUGAAAUCCCCGGGCUCAACCUGGGAACUGCAUUCAAAACUGACUGACUAGAGUAUGGUAGAGGGUGGUGGAAUUUCCUGUGUAGCGGUGAAAUGCGUAGAUAUAGGAAGGAACACCAGUGGCGAAGGCGACCACCUGGACUAAUACUGACACUGAGGUGCGAAAGCGUGGGGAGCAAACA
rnacentral:rRNA from 1 species